UACGUAGGUGACCAGCGUUGUCCGGAUUUACUGGGCGUAAAGAGCGCGCAGGCGGUCGUUCAAGUCGAGUGUGAAAGCCCCCGGCUCAACUGGGGAGGGUCAUUCGAUACUGAUCGACUGGAAGGCAGGAGAGGGAAGCGGAAUUCCCGGUGUAGAGGUGAAAUUCGUAGAUAUCGAGAGGAACACCGGUGGCGAAGGCGGCCAACUGGACGAAUACUGACGCUGAGACUCGAAAGCGUGGGGGAGCAAACAGG
rnacentral:rRNA from 1 species